AGGAGAUUUUCUAAAUGAGUCUGGACUUGAGGAGACUGGUCAGCACUGAAGAGAGAAAUCUGGAGUCUUGAGUAGAUACGAUUCUACUUUAAGAUAUAAGACUGGAUGAGAGAGAAUGUAAUAGAGAAAAGAUAUUCAGAACUGAGCUCUGGGCACAUCAAAAUAGAAUUUCAGAGGAAACAGCACCAACGAGUAAAAGGAAAGUAAAGGGCUGACGAAGAAGUCGUGGAAACAAACUAUUUCAACAAGCAGCAGCAGCAGUUUGGAGAGGUUUAUUUAAAACAAGGCAGAAUUCCCUACUGCCCUAAAAGCCUCAACUUGGAAAACAGCACGGUGAAUGGAAGAAAACCAGGCCUGGGGACUGAGGGGCUGCUGUGGCUCUCAUCUUGAUAAGAAGAAAGGAUGAGCACCAACUUACCCCAGCUUCUGUCCAUCUGUAACACAUUUGCUGCUACAGAUUGUGUCUGUAUAGAGAAGAGAGAAGACGCAAAGCUCUUCUUCCAGUCCUUGAAGUCUGCAGCCUGGGUGUCUGCAGAGGACAAUGCCUUGUUCUUUAAGAUACCCAGCAUGGCACUGCAGUACAUCUAUAAAAAAUCAAUUAUCCCCCUGAAUAAUAAAGUUAUGGAAAUGAAUGAUAGAACCAACCUGAGGAAAUUAAUCAGCAAGCCUGGGAAUACAAUUUGGGUCUCCUUAACAAUAUUCCAACUUAAUUGAAAACAAGGACAGUUAGGUUGGUUUUUGGUCGUUUUAUGUCUUUAAUAUGUAAUUUUCAUAAACGAAAGCUUCAUAUUGCACUUUGGGGAUGAUGGUUACAGAGUACUUGAUAAGUUUUACUGCAAGGACAUGUAGUAAUGUAUAUGCCAGCCUCUUAUAUGACAACUAUUGAAUUUACACUUUCAACUCUUUUAAAAUAUAAACGUGUGGAUUGCAUACUCCUGUGUUUUGCAUUGCUUGUGAAAUGUUGAGAAGGCAUUGUGUUGACAAAUGCAGCAUGACAUUAAUCCAAGUGCAUGAUCCCCCUUCUGCUUGCCCCUAACUUCCCAUUGCAGCCUGAUGGUACAUAUGUGUGAGUUUAUUCUUUGUGAUUUCUGCAGAACAUCAUCUAACAACACAGGGACACUAUCAGAAGAAGACCACGAAAGGUUAUGCCCUUUGGAGUCAAUAUUGAGGUUCUCUAUCACACUGGAAAGAAACAGACCUCAGACAACGGAUUACUAACCACACUUCACUGAAAGCACCAUCAGAGAAACAUGUGACAAAGACAUGGAGAUCAAUGUGCUACUCUGGAAUAUCUCUGCAUUUCCCCAAGACUGUCCUGAAAGACCAGCAAUGGAGAAUAGUUGUACCAGGAGUGGAGUGGUCAGAUGUGUCUGUCUUUGUCAUACAUUGCUAGCAAUUUUGGUUGUUUCUCAAUAAACAUUUUUAAAAUUUAUUUUCCCUAAAUUGUUCACUGUUCACAUUCAUCCAUUUAUCCACUUACUCAAUAAUUAUUUUUUGAGUAUCUAUUCUGCGGUGAAAUUAAAGACCAAAGUAGGGGAUAGAGAAGUAAAGUUGAGAUCACUGGGCUUUAUUACUUUUUAAAGCCAGGGGAUAGCAAUGACGUCAGCUUGAGAAUGAGUUACAAUAGCAACCAGUAAAGGAUAGCACUGGCUUUAAACAAAAAUAAACCACCAGAAUAUAUUUUCUGAUUUAUCUGUGUUUCUGAUGAGGACAUCCGUUUAUCUAUUUUAAAUGAAGUGUUGCUAGAUACCCACCAGUUUUCAAGAAUCUAACCACUGGGUAAAUAAAAGGAAAAAAUGGGAAAUUCUGACACAAGAGUGAAAUAUGAAUGAGUG
rnacentral:lncRNA from 10 species